AAUAUCGUAGUUUAUUCAAAAUUUUAAAUUGCAAAUUUAAAGAGGGGCCUUAUUCCCGAUAUUU
rnacentral:tRNA from 1 species